rnacentral:rRNA from 1 species
AGAGUUUGAUCCUGGCUCAGGAUAAACGCUGGCGGCGUGCCUAACACAUGCAAGUCGAACGUUCUGCUGCUUUUUCGGAAGCGGCAGGAAGUGGCGGACGGGUGAGUAACACAUGGGUACCUGGCCUCAAGUGAGGGAUACCGGCGAGAAAUCGCCGACAAACCCGCAUGGGCUCGCGCGGGUAACAGCGCGCGAGCAAAGCCUGCUUUAGUGGGCGCUUGAGGAUGGGCCUGUGGCCGAUUAGCUGGUUGGUGGGGUAAGGGCUCACCAAGGCUGCGAUCGGUAGCUGGUCUGAGAGGACGAGCAGCCACACUGGGACUGAGAAACGGCCCAGACUCCUACGGGAGGCAGCAGUGAGGAAUUUUCCGCAAUGGGCGAAAGCCUGAUGCAGCGACGCCGCGUGAGGGAUGACGGCCUUCGGGUUGUAAACCUCUUUCAGCAGGGAAGGAGCGAAAGUGACGGUACCUGCAGAAGAAGCACCGGCUAACUACGUGCCAGCAGCCGCGGUAAUACGUAGGGUGCGAGCGUUGUCCGGAAUUAUUGGGCGUAAAGAGCUUGUAGGCGGUUUGUCGCGUCUGCUGUGAAAUUUCGGGGCUCAACCCCGAACUUGCAGUGGGUACGGGCAGACUAGAGUGUGGUAGGGGAGACUGGAAUUCCUGGUGUAGCGGUGAAAUGCGCAGAUAUCAGGAGGAACACCGAUGGCGAAGGCAGGUCUCUGGGCCACUACUGACGCUGAGAAGCGAAAGCAUGGGGAGCGAACAGGAUUAGAUACCCUGGUAGUCCAUGCCGUAAACGUUGGGAACUAGGUGUGGGUCUCAUUCCACGAGAUCCGUGCCGCAGCUAACGCAUUAAGUUCCCCGCCUGGGGAGUACGGCCGCAAGGCUAAAACUCAAAGGAAUUGACGG